CCUGGUACUACAGCCUUGUUUUUCUCAUUUGUAAUAGCCUGACACAUUGCCCUUGAAGGUCCAGUUUCCCAGGCUUGCAAGGUCUCUACUUCUCUAGACAAAGGUGACACACACCACACAGUACAUCGAACCUUUCAUUCAACUGAAGUUCCUUGUCUGCUGCCUGCGAGGGAGCUGCGGUGCCUGAUGGCCGUGUCCUACUUCUAGGCAUGGAGUCCAAGGCUGAAGGCCGGGUGACAGGCUCUGCAAACCAGGUGGGCUGACUUUCCUGCACUCCAAGGAAGAAUGGGAAGAGAGGGAAAGACGGAAGCAAGUAGUUUGCUGGAGCUUGUUACAGCAGACCGGCUGCUGUUCCCAACGUUCCUGAAAUCAUGAGCUUCCAUUUCCAGAACUUGUCACGCUGAGGCACAGAUCACACAAACUUUCCCAGCUGCUGCUGUGCUGGGCGAAGGGCGCACUGACUCCAGCUUUCUGCCGUUGCCCCUCUGCCUCGCUGGAAGAGGACAUGACAUCCUGAUAUUUGUGACUGUGGGUAUGUCACCAAACCCACACAGAGUGAGCUACGAGGCCUUAUACUAUCGUAAGUAAGUCUAGUAUGGCUAAUGUGCGAGGGACAGAAAAUAAGGACAGAGAACCACUAGAUCUCUACACAGUCUGGGAAUGUCUUCUGUGCAAAGCUGUAACAGCCUGGGUGAGGUGUUCCGCAGUUCUUCCCACAGGGAACUCGGAAGGGAAAUUUCAGCUGGCCUCCUGGAGGCAGGGCUGUCACCCCUGCCCUGCAGAGCUCUCUUAUCGCGACAGUCACAAAUGUUUCAGGGGAGAAGCAGCGUUCUGCCAAGCAAAGCCGAUCCCAGGUAGUGUCUAACAGAAGCAAAUGGUUAAGUCCUUCUUCUCACUCAUACUGCUGUGGUAUCAAAACCCUAAUGAAAACCUAAAUCCAAGUCUUCUCGCUUCGUGGUUUCUCAUACUUUUGUUCCAUCACAGCCAUAUUUCGCCUCUUCUGAUCACAGCAUCUACCUGCGUGACCUCUAUUUUAUCAAACAAUGUUUUGGAAAUGGUGCUGGACACAUUUGUCAUGUCAUAGGAGAUGAAAACUGGAAGUUUUUUAGUUCAAUCCCUGCUCCAGUCCCACAUUUCUUGUGUUGCCUGAUGUGAAACACAGUAUAUAUUAGACCCAGGAGUGCAGAGCAGAGCAAAGCAGAAUCUUGUACCAUGGUGUAUUCCCUUAAAAUGCUUGCAGGUUAGCAGGCAUGCGCUUCAGGUCAGGAUAUUUUAGUUAAAGCAAAUGGAUAACAGAUAUGGCCUUAGGGUAGGUUUUCUCUGAGUAUGAGAACAAGCCCGAAAGGCGAGGAAAGCAGGUGUAGAAAACAGGUAACGCUCUCCCAAAACCAUUGUGUUCCUUUGUCUUGGUGCUAGGCAGAGGAGACUGAAGGUUAGAAACAGGUGGAAAAAUAGUUUCUCCCAGUAGAAGACCGUGAGCAGUUCAGAGGAGACAGCAGGUUAUAAUGACAACCCUUGCCAAUGCAUGCAGAAAAUACUCUGGGUUUGGGGAGAUGGGAAAAGGUACAGACCCCAUCCUGCAAGUGUGGGGCGCAAGAUACUCUGAGGACUGGAGAUCCAUGAAGAACGCCCUGCACAAAGGUGGUCUCAGUGAUGCCUUUGGCCCCUGCUCUCUGCCUGUUCCCUACAGACGCUUCCUUUCACAUUGUAGACAGGCAGUUUUUGUCCAACACUCUGUAUCCUUACUGCAUAAAUCAAUGAAUGUUCAAGGGAUGGGCCAUCUUCCACUGCCUGAGGUAGGUGGAUGCAGUGCCCUUGGUUCCCUUAGGUGCCAAGCCCAGACCGCUUGAUCUCAUUGUGUUCAGCAGCAGGCAGUGGCGUGCGAGGCACUGGGUGGGCUAAGCCUUUGCUCACCACCUCUGUGUAGUGAAGCCUCCUUUCUGCACCGCAACAGCCUCUUCUCACAACUGCUAUAUUUUUUCCUGCUUUCAGAUCGCGUGAUUCUGUGCUCUGCCAUCAUGAUGUUUUACAGCAAACACCCAUCUGCAAUAUCUCCUUAAUGAUAAGAAAAGCUAGAUUUCAGUCCCUCAGUUUUCUGACAAGGAUAACAAUGCCUCUUCCUCUAGAGUGAAGGGCUGGAGGCAUUGUCUAUUAUCACCGUAGCUUUGUGUCUCUGGAGGUGGAUGUUUGGUUAGACUCUCCAGUGAUACAGAUUUGCCAGGUAUCCCUUAGCUGUCAUCGGAAUUUAUAAAACAAAAACCCACCUGACCCCUGGUGACAGGCUACUGAGACAGGAAACCUCUGUUAGUCCACAGAAACCAAGUAAAUAGGGCUGGGAAAACCUCCAGAGCCCACUGCCGUACCAGAGAAUGAUUGUCUCCCAGACAGCUCCACAUGAGCGAAGCAACAGGCUUUCCUCAGGGAGACAGGUCAGCAUCUCCAUUAUCGAGUGAGCCCAUCAGAGGCUAAAUCUCUAUCCUUUUAAUUUCACCCUAUUCUUCAUAGCUGUAAGACCUUUAUUCCUCCUAGGACAAUUAUUCUUCCAUCAAAUACUUGUAGCCGGUUAAGUAUGCUCCUCUGGGUAUAGCUGGGCAGCUAUACAUAUUUAGCUCUCUUUCCCUCCCCAGGAAUCAAUUUCCCCAGCCCUUUAAUCAUGUUUACUGCUCUUCUCUGAAUCUGUGGAGUUGCCGGUAUUUUGCAUGGGUUCACAUCCAUCUCUGGGCUUUUUGAUGAGCUGUGAGGCUUCAUCUUCACCUUUUUUUUACAAAAAGCGAGGCAAUCUGGUGAAGCAGUUAACGCUCUGAGCUCCUGGCCUCCCGUGACUGUGAUCCUCUGCCUCCCUAAACUGCUGGGUGAUGCUGGAGCAUCAAGACACUUCUUGGCAGCUUUUUCUUCUUAUUUGCCCUGGUAUUUGACCCCUACGGGAGCGGUUUGGUUUCUCCCAGGAUCUUGGAUGCCAGUGAGCUCUGCUCACCUUUCUUCCCUGCCAUCUGCCAUCCUGGCAUUUCUUGGCCUUGGAACAGCAGAUCAGAUUUCACCUUGAUCAAGCUGCAAAACAUGAAGGCCUUAUGUGAAUCAUCCCUUUUGAAUUCAGCCACCAGCACCUGGAAAGAGGCCACCAGCACUUGGGGGUUGACAACAUUAUUAAUGCAAGUCAUUAUUUGUGCGAACACGUUCCUGGCUCAUAUGAAGCAUGUGGAUUCCCGCUGUUUCAAAGGAGAUGGAAAUACCUGCUGUAUGCAGAUAACCCACCCGCCUCCGCCCUUUCCUAACCAUCACUGCCCACCCCUCGGACCUGGCCCUCUCCAGCAUCCCUUUGGAUGAGCAAUGUGUAUCUGCUUUGGGCCCCUUUGUGAAACUCCUGAAGGUUUUACAGCGGUGUCAGACUAACAAUGUGUAGCAUAAUUUAGAGAGGAAUGGGAAAUUAUUCAUUCAGGUUGAAUCACAAUAAGAAUUUCUCAGGUUUGAGGGGGUGGGAAGCAGGGGUGAAACAAUAACACAAAAAAACCCAAACCCAAAAUAAAGAGAAAAAUACCCUGA